CCUGAUCACCACCCUGGCCAGCAGAUUUCAACCAGCCUGCUGUCUGCUCAUCCAGCCCAUACUUCAUGGGCUUCUCUGUGAGGGAGCCCUGUCUGUGUCCACUAGUACACACAUUCAUUUGGAUUUUAAACAAUCAAACAGAAGUGAGAGUUUUAAGAGCAGAAUUAUUUUUCAAAGGGAAAUAGAAGGGUAUGGCUUUGAUGGAACGAGUGCCUUCAAGCUCCACUGGCAGGCACUGUUUGAAAACUAUUUGGGUGAUUUUUGAUAAGAAAUGAAAGAUGCAACAGCAGGAAGCCAUUCAGCAAUCCCUGACAAGGGAGGUCCACUGUCAAUUGCUGGGAGGGCCCCCACCUGUUUCUUUUAAUGGUGCUCCCAAAUCCCACCCCUUGGGCCUCCCAUCCCAUCCUUUUUGGUCCCCUCAGGCAUCUCCUCCCCAGGAUCUGCUCUGUGUCCUACCCAGGGUCCCCAGACAUCCUCCCAUUGAUCAUUCCCAAAGCUUUUCUUUCCAUCCUUCCCCUCAGACCUUUGCCUUUCACCCAGGCCACUGCCCUGGUACCUCCCAAGACCAUUCCUUGCCUCCCUCUCCACUCCCAACCAUCUCCCAGUCCCCUCAUUUUUGUCCUCCUCCAUCCUCCUCCUCCUGUCCCCACCAAGCCUCUCCCUUGCAGUCCCCAUGUCCCUACACUUGAAUUCCUUUCCCCUCCCCUGCAUCCCACACAGGGCCCCUUCAACACCCCAAUCCCAGUCCCGUGGGCUCCCCAGUUCCCCCCAGUUCAGCAUCUUUGGGUCCCCUCCUACUCCCCCCACCCUCCCUGCAGGCCCUGAAUUCCCCUGGCUCUCCUUGUCUCCAUCCCCACCCUGGGCCCUGCAGGCACAGGGGUUGGAGGUGAAACUGGGUGCAGUGGGAGCAGGGGGAGCAGAAGGGAUUUUCCCCCUCAGACGGGGGCAGCCCUGGGCUGGGGGGCUGGGGACACCCGUGUCCCUCCCCCAGCCCCACAGGGGCCAAUCCUGCUUAACCCUUUGCUCUCCUUGCCCAGGCACUCUUGGCAGGAACCCAAAAUGAUCUGCGGGAGGUGAGUGGGCCGGGGGGACUGGAGGGCAUCCAGUCUGGGAACUGGGGGACACUUUGGUCCCCCCAUCCCUCGCUGGCACCGGGGACAUCCCAGUGACCAGCCAGGGCUCCUGGUCUCUCUCCAGCUGCAUUUAGUGGACGUUGGGAUCCUGAAGAUGGCUCAGGCUCCCAAUACAUCCCACUGCACCCAGUGUGUCUCUGAGCCUGUCUUUGUCCCCAGCCCCCUGUGGUUGAGAAGGUGCUGGG